rnacentral:lncRNA from 1 species
GCAAAAUUACAUCAUUCAUUCUUUUGGACUCUAAAACAUAUCUUAUAUGUACAAUCAUUUUGAAAACUCUACAACUGUUGUUGUUGAAACUACUGUCCUAUUACAUAAAUUGCUACAAUUGCGGAAGCUCUCAUACAUGAUAGCUAUUUAUGUUCUGUAACAUGAGUGACUAUUUAGGUAUCUUUCCGCCAGUGAAGUGCACUUGAAUUGUGAUCUCCUUUGCUCGGUCCUUGGCGUCUCUGGUUGUCUGUUGAAACCCUCUGGUGUUCCUUUCCAUCCAUAUGUUGUAUACUACCGCUGCAAACACCACUCCUUUAAUGGAUUUUUUGGGAUUUCUGUUGUUUACAUUUGCUAUCAGCCAUUGGAUUUCUGUUUCCCACAAGCCUGUCACUCUUUGAUAUUUCAUCCAUUGUAAUAUAGCUUGCCAUAAUGUUUUGGAGUAUA